rnacentral:rRNA from 1 species
GAUGAACGCUGGCGGCGUGCCUAAUACAUGCAAGUCGAGCGAACAGAUGAGGAGCUUGCUCCUCUGACGUUAGCGGCGGACGGGUGAGUAACACGUGGAUAACCUACCUAUAAGACUGGGAUAACUUCGGGAAACCGGAGCUAAUACCGGAUAAUAUAUUGAACCGCAUGGUUCAAUAGUGAAAGACGGUUUUGCUGUCACUUAUAGAUGGAUCCGCGCCGCAUUAGCUAGUUGGUAAGGUAACGGCUUACCAAGGCAACGAUGCGUAGCCGACCUGAGAGGGUGAUCAGCCACACUGGAACUGAGACACGGUCCAGACUCCUACGGGAGGCAGCAGUAGGGAAUCUUCCGCAAUGGGCGAAAGCUUGACGGAGCAACGCCGCGUGAGUGAUGAAGGUCUUCGGAUCGUAAAACUCUGUUAGUAGGGAAGAACAAAUGUGUAAGUAACUAUGCACGUCUUGACGGUACCUAAUCAGAAAGCCACGGCUAACUACGUG